GACAGAGGAUGCAAGCGUUAUCCGGAAUGAUUGGGCGUAAAGCGUCUGUAGGUGGCUUUUUAAGUCUGCCGUCAAAUCCCAGGGCUUAACCCCGGACAGGCGGUGGAAACUACCAAGCUGGAGUACGGUAGGGGCAGAGGGAAUUCCUGGUGUAGCGGUGAAAUGCGUAGAGAUCAGGAAGAACACCGGUGGCGAAGGCGCUCUGCUAGGCCGUAACUGACACUGAGGGACGAAAGCUAGGGGAGCGAAUGGG
rnacentral:rRNA from 1 species